rnacentral:rRNA from 1 species
CCCUUAGAUGUUCUGGGCCGCACGCGCGCUACACUGAUUCAUGCACUAAGUAUAUAACCUUGGUAGAAAUGCUUGGGUAGUCUUCGAAACUGAAUCGUGCUGGGGAUUGGAGCUUGUAAUUAUUCUCCAUGAACGAGGAAUUCCUAGUAAACGCGAGUCAUCAGCUCGCAUUGAUUACGUCCCUGCCCUUUGUACACACCGCCCGUCGCACCUACCGAUUGAAUGGUCCGGUGAAAUCUUCGGACCGCGCAACGCCGCAAGGUGAUGCGUGGAAAGUUGCUUAAACCUUACCAUUUAGAGGAAGGUGAAGUCGUAACA